GACGACGCUGGCGGCGUGCUUAACACAUGCAAGUCGAACGGUGACGAGGAGCUUGCUCCUCUGAUCAGUGGCGAACGGGUGAGUAACACGUGAGUAACCUGCCCCAGACUCUGGAAUAACAGUUGGAAACAGCUGCUAAUACCGGAUACGAGACGGAGAGGCAUCUCUACCGUCUGGAAAGUUUUUCGGUCUGGGAUGGACUCGCGGCCUAUCAGCUUGUUGGUGAGGUAAUGGCUCACCCAAGGCGACGACGGGUAGCCGGCCUGAGAGGGCGACCGGCCACACUGGGACUGAGACACGGCCCAGACUCCUACGGGAGGCAGCAGUGGGGAAUAUUGCACAAUGGGCGAAAGCCUGAUGCAGCAACGCCGCGUGAGGGAUGACGGCCUUCGGGUUGUAAACCUCUUUCAGUAGGGAAGAAGCGAAAGUGACGGUACCUACAGAAGAAGCACCGGCUAACUACGUG
rnacentral:rRNA from 1 species